rnacentral:rRNA from 1 species
UACGUAGGGCGCAAGCGUUAUCCGGAAUUAUUGGGCGUAAAGAGCUCGUAGGCGGUUUGUCGCGUCUGCCGUGAAAGUCCGGGGCUCAACUCCGGAUCUGCGGUGGGUACGGGCAGACUAGAGUGCAGUAGGGGAGACUGGAAUUCCUGGUGUAGCAGUGAAAUGCGUAGAUAUCAGGAGGAAUACCGAUGGCGAAGGCAGGUCUCUGGGCUGACACUGACGCUCAUGCACGAAAGCGUGGGGAGCAAACAGG